rnacentral:rRNA from 1 species
AACGAACGCUGGCGGCAGGCCUAACACAUGCAAGUCGAACGUGAAGCAGGACUUCGGUUCUGUGGAAAGUGGCGCACGGGUGAGUAACGCGUGGGAACCUACCCUUGAGUAUGGGAUAACGGCUGGAAACGGCCGCUAAUACCGUAUACGCCCUAUUGGGGAAAGAUUUAUCGCUCUUGGAUGGGCCCGCGUAGGAUUAGGUAGUUGGUGGGGUAACGGCUUACCAAGCCUGCGAUCCUUAGCUGGUCUGAGAGGAUGAUCAGCCACACUGGGACUGAGACACGGCCCAGACUCCUACGGGAGGCAGCAGUGGGGAAUAUUGGACAAUGGGCGCAAGCCUGAUCCAGCCAUGCCGCGUGAGUGACGAAGGCCUUAGGGUUGUAAAGCUCUUUCGGCUGUGAAGAUGAUGACUGUAGCAGCUAAAGAAGCCCCGGCUAACUCCG